rnacentral:misc_RNA from 1 species
GAUGAAGAACGUAGCGAAAUGCGAUAAGUAAUGUGAAUUGCAGAAUUCAGUGAAUCAUCGAAUCUUUGAACGCACAUUGCGCCCGCCAGUAUUCUGGCGGGCAUGCCUGUCUGAGCGUCAUUUCAACCCUCAUGCCCCUAGGGCGUGGUGUUGGGGAUCGGCCAAAGCCCGCAAGGGACGGCCGGCCCCUAAAUCUAGUGGCGGACCCGUCGUGGCCUCCUCUGCGAAGUAGUGAUAUUCCGCAUCGGAGAGCGACGAGCCCCUGCCGUUAAACCCCCAACUUUCCAAGGUUGACCUCAGAUCAGGUAGGAAUACCCGCUGAACUUAAGCAUAUCAAUAAGCGGAGGA